GACGAACGCUGGCGGCGUGCUUAACACAUGCAAGUCGAACGGAAAGGCCCUGCUUUUGUGGGGUGCUCGAGUGGCGAACGGGUGAGUAACACGUGAGUAACCUGCCCUUGACUUUGGGAUAACUUCAGGAAACUGGGGCUAAUACCGGAUAGGAGCUCCUGCUGCAUGGUGGGGGUUGGAGAGUUUCGGCGGUUGGGGAUGGACUCGCGGCUUAUCGGCUUGUUGGUGGGGUAGUGGCUUACCAAGGCUUUGACGGGUAGCCGGCCUGAGAGGGUGACCGGCCACAUUGGGACGGGGAUACGGCCCAGACUCCUACGGGAGGCAGCAGUGGGGAAUAUUGCACAAUGGGCGGAAGCCUGAUGCAGCAACGCCGCGUGCGGGAUGACGGCCUUCGGGUUGUAACCGCUUUCGCCUGUGACGAAGCGUGAGUGACGGUAAUGGGUAAAGAAGCACCGGCUAACUACGUG
rnacentral:rRNA from 1 species